rnacentral:misc_RNA from 1 species
AAUCUUCAACUUACAGACCUUUGCGGGUUUUGUAGGCUUGGACUUGGAGGCUUGUCGGCCGGUGUUUCGGUCGGCUCCUCUUAAAUGUAUUAGCUUGAUUCCUUGCGGAUCGGCUCUCGGUGUGAUAAUAAUGUCUACGCCGCGACCGUGAAGCGUUUUGGCGAGCUUCUAAUAGUCUCAUUUAUGAGACGGCUUUAUGAC